GUGAUCAUACCAGCACUAAUGUAGCAGAUUCCAUCAGAACUUCGCUGUUAAGCAUGCAUGGGAAAAUGUAGUACUAAGAUGGGUAACCCUCUGGGAAGUCCUCGUGUUGCACCA